CCCAAGAGCCAGGAGAUCCCACCUGGCCAUGGCAGCAACUGAGAGCAUAUGGCUACCUUGGCCUCUUAUGUUUGUUCUUUCCUGUUCAUAGGCAAACAAGAUGGAAGUAUGCAGGCAAUCUUGUGAGUUCAGGAGAAGCAGAGGUUUCACUAGCAGAGAGAAAUGAAUUGUAGUAAUAGCAAUGACCACCAGUAAUAGUGUUUUUGGCAGCUACUGCAUUGGGAAUAGGAACACACCAAGGACAAACUGACAAGAAAUAAGUCAUCAGAAAAAAGCAAAUCUCGGGGAAUAUGACUCCUCAAGGUAGAGAGAAAUACAGUACUGACUGAAGACUUUGUAUAAAAAUAGCAGUCAGUCCAUUAAGUGAUGAACCAGUCUAGAAAUGCAGGUCUUCAACUUCUGGAGCUAAGAAUUCCAAUUCCAGAGUUUGGAAUCCUCCACCCAUAGAUUGGUCCACCACCUGAAUGAGCUCACAGAAGAACUUGGAUGGGCCCAGAUAUGUGUCUGAUUCUUUUAGCCAAUCAUAAGCUGUUUCCUGUAUCUUGGUCAUAUGUCUCUAUCUGAUAAUGACCAUAGAUAAUCAAAUGAUUAUAAUCCUCUCUAAGAGAUUAAGGAUUUAUUCACAUUUUCUGGUAGGGUAUAAGAAAAUUUCUCAAGACAAGUAUUUUCUAACACCUAGACUAAACUGUUGAUUGACGGAUGCAAUUUGAGUUAUCUGGGUCUUCUGAUUACAUUAAUUGGGAUUUUCCUACAUUGAGAAUGGAAAGUCCCUUUCUUUCCCUUAGCUUACUGGAGAGAGAAGCUGGGUUUUUCCAAAAAGCUUCACUAGCACUUAAGAUCACUGAAAAAGCAAAAUGAGAACAUCUAUGUCAAAAGAAACUGGAGGGAAAUGGAUCUAUGCAGCAUCCAAAGAGGCAAGGGGAGAAAAGGAGGAAGAACUGAAAUGACUGUAAAUUAAUUGGGUGCAUCAUUCACCCUAAGCAUGCCACCUUGGCCUGCCACCAUGCCACCCCAGAAGCUAACCCCAGGCAUCUUCUUCCUGGUGUAGCCAAAACCAACUUGAAGUUCCUUUUCCAUUUCCAAGAUGGCACUCCUUCAAGACCCUGUCAAGCCCUUAGAUUCAAACUCAGUCUAUGGCUUACAUUCUUCACAAGGGAAGUAUUUAACUCUUCUAAUUUGUAACCCCAUAUAUGUUACAUAUAUCCAUAGCAGCAUACAAUUCUCACCAAAAGAAAAAAGGAAAGUAUAAUAUCUUCACAGACUUUUCUCUGUUCCAUUAUAUAGACCCUGUUCUUUGUA